UUUUCCGGUUGAUCCUGCCGGAGGUCACUGCUAUUGGGAUUCGAUUAAGCCAUGCGAGUCGAGAGGGUUCGGCCCUCGGCAGACUGCUCAGUAACACGUGGAUAAUCUGCCCUAAGGUGGAGGAUAAUCUCGGGAAACUGAGAAUAAUAAUCCAUAGGUCUAGGAUGCUGGAAUGUACUUAGACUAAAAGCUCCGGCGCCUUAGGAUGAAUCUGCGGACUAUCAGGUUGUAGUCAGGAUAAAGACCUGACUAGCCAACGACGGAUACGGGUUGUGAGAGCAAUAACCCGGAGACGAUAUCUGAGACACGAUAUCGGGCCCUACGGGGCGCAGCAGGCGCGAAACCUUCACACUGUGCGAAAGCACGAUGAGGGGAUCCCAAGUGCUUGCACGUAAGUGUAAGCUGUUUCUUUGUUUAAAAUGCAUAGAGAGUAAGGGCUGGGUAAGACGGGUGCCAGCCGCCGCGGUAAUACCUGCAGCUCAAGUGGUGACCACUAUUAUUGGGCCUAAAACGUCCGUAGCCGGUUUGAUAAAUGCCUGGGUAAAUCGUAUAGCUCAACUAUACGAAUUCCGGGUAGACUGUUAAACUUGAGACCGGGAGAAGCUAGAGGUACUCUUGGGGUAGAGGUGAAAUUCUGUAAUCCUGAGGGGACCACCAGUGGCGAAGGCGUCUAGCUAGAACGGGUCUGACGGUGAGGGACGAAGCCCUGGGGCGCAAACCGGAUUAGAUACCCGGGUAGUCCAGGGUGUAAACGCUGCUUGCUUGAUGUUAGUCGGGCUCCGAGCCCGACUAGUGUCGGAGAGAAGUUGUUAAGCAAGCUGCCUGGAAUACGAUCGCAAGAUUGAAACUUAAAGGAAUUGGCGGGGGAGCA
rnacentral:rRNA from 1 species